rnacentral:rRNA from 1 species
AGUGAACGCUGGCGGUAGGCCUAACACAUGCAAGUCGAACGGCAGCACAGUAAGAGCUUGCUCUUACGGGUGGCGAGUGGCGGACGGGUGAGGAAUACAUCGGAAUCUACUUUUUCGUGGGGGAUAACGUAGGGAAACUUACGCUAAUACCGCAUACGACCUACGGGUGAAAGCAGGGGAUCUUCGGACCUUGCGCGAUUGAAUGAGCCGAUGUCGGAUUAGCUAGUUGGCGGGGUAAAGGCCCACCAAGGCGACGAUCCGUAGCUGGUCUGAGAGGAUGAUCAGCCACACUGGAACUGAGACACGGUCCAGACUCCUACGGGAGGCAGCAGUGGGGAAUAUUGGACAAUGGGCGCAGGCCUGAUCCAGCCAUACCGCGUGGGUGAAGAAGGCCUUCGGGUUGUAAAGCCCUUUUGUUGGGAAAAAAAAGCAGCAGGUUAAUACCCCGCUGUUCUGACGGUACCCAAAGAAUAAGCACCGGCUAACUUCGUG